AGGAAAGACAGCCAGUGACUUCCAUGCUGGGUCCUGAGGAGGACUCCCCUCUCCAGAAGGCCACACCUCCUAAUAGUGCAUCUCCUGAACUCAGAAGUGCUAUGCCAGCUGCCAAGGACAGAAAGCAACCAACAGCCCUACUUAGCUGUGAAGUUUAUGAACCACGUUGGCCAACAUGGCAAGAUAGCCAUAAGAGUGGCACUCAUAUCUUGUGAGUAACCAACAGCUAUCUCAUUGGACCCAAGGCCCACUUAACAAGAGGGAAACCUAGCUAAUUCCCUGAGUGAGGUCAUGAGCCUUAGAGGAGAACCUACAACCACCACUUCACUAAAACAGAUUAAUUCCUAAGAACAUUCUAAUACUUACUCUUUUUUUUAAAGAUUUAUUUAUUUAUAUAUAUGAGUACACUGUCACUGUCUUCAGACACACUAGAAUAGGGCAUCAGAUCCCAUUACAGAUGGUUGUGAGCCACCAUGUGGGUGCCAGGAAUUGAACUCAUGACCUCUGGAAGAACAAUCAGUGCUCUUAACCACUGAGCCAUCUCUCCAGUCCCUAAAUACUUCUCCCCACAGAUAAAUGUAGCUUCCAAGGCUCACCAAAGAAGCCUCUCUUUGCAAAAGACUGGUCAAAAUCCAGAGAGCAACUGAUUGUCGGGUACCCAGCCCCAACAGAUACAUCUAUAGGAUAACUCACACACCUAGGGCUUGGGAACAUCAUGGAAGAAGGGUAGACAAAUUGUCAGAGCCAGAGGACCAGGAUGUUUGCUGAGAGACUGUGCCUCCUAGAAAUAUUACGGAAGCUUCUUCCAUGACACCUCAACAGCGUGGCUGCCCAAACAAGACUUGAACAGCUCUAGAUGAAGAACUACAGGCAACUAACAAUUGUGAAAGAGGGAGAAAGAGUCUUCUCCAGGGGUGAGCCUCCAAUUAGUCAUCCAAUGCCAGUGGUCAGUCCUGAAAUCAUAUAUACAAGCAACACUGAAUAGACUCAGCAGGUAAUAUUUGUGUAUGUAUGCACACACAUACACACACACACACACACACACACACACACACACACACAGACAUAUAUAUGGAAAAGGCCAGGAAUUUAAGAGGAGGGGAUUGGAUAGAGUACUAUGCAGCACUGAAGAGUGAAGCUGGAGUCUAUGCUCUGCCAUUACUACAAUGGCUGUGAUGUGCUCUUAGGCUGCAGAGCAGUGUGUAUGGGUCAAUUCUGCUUUUGCAGCAGCAGCAACUAGAAAGAAUGGAUCCAGAAGGAAACUUACCAAAUCACUAAAAUGUAAACUUACUCUCUC
rnacentral:lncRNA from 1 species